UACAGAGGUCUCAAGCGUUGUUCGGAUUCAUUGGGCGUAAAGGGUGCGUAGGCGGCGCGGUAAGUCGGGGUGUGAAAUCUCGGGGCUUAACUCCGAAACUGCAUUCGAUACUGCCGGUGCUUGAGGACUGGAGAGGAGACGUGGAAAUUUGACGGUGUAGCGGUGAAAUGCGUAGAUAUCGAUAAGGAAGACCAGUGGCGAAGGCGGGUC
rnacentral:rRNA from 1 species